UUGACCUCGGAUCAGGCAGGAAUACCCGCCGAACUUAAGCAUAUCAAUAAGCGGAGGA
rnacentral:rRNA from 1 species